UACGUAGGGGGCAAGCGUUGUCCGGAUUUAUUGGGCGUAAAGAGCGUGUAGGCGGCCUGGAAGGUCAGCUGUGAAAACUCGAGGCUCAACCUCGAGACGUCGGUUGAAACCACCUGGCUAGAGUCCGGAAGAGGAGUGUGGAAUUCCUGGUGUAGCGGUGGAAUGCGCAGAUAUCAGGAGGAACACCGGUGGCGAAGGCGGGGUCUCUGGGGCAGUAACUGACGCUGGAGGAGCGAAAGCGUGGGGAGCGAACAGG
rnacentral:rRNA from 1 species